UGGGGAAUUUUGGACAAUGGGGGCAACCCUGAUCCACAAUGCCGCGUGAGUGAAGAAGGCCUUCGGGUUGUAAAGCUCUUUUGUCAGGGAAGAAACACCGGCUCUAACACAGUCCGGGAAUGACGGUACCUGAAGAAUAAGCACCGGCUAACUACGUGCCAGCAGCCGCGGUAAUA
rnacentral:rRNA from 1 species